UGUUGCACCUUCUGCUUGGACAAAUCGCUGUUCACCUGUCUGGCCUCAAGUAGUCUUUCUAGAAAAAAAGAACCCCGCAUGUCAUCCCUUUUCUCUUUUUGCAAUUUUGCAAGAAAUAAAAAACGUGAAUCCCGUCCCGGUUCAAAGAAAAUUCCUUAAGCGGCUUUAAUUUCACGAAAGCGAAUCCCAUGAGGGAGAUCAAGGUCCAGAAGCUGGUCCUCAACAUCUACAUCGAUGAGAGCGCAGAUCGACUCACGAGAGCCGCCAAGGUGUUGCAGCAACUUAGUGGCCAAACACCUGUUUUCUCCAAAGGAUUUUAUUUUUUAUUUGAGACUUGGAUAUGAAAAGAUGGAUUGUGUUUAUCCGGUUUAUAUUAAUUCAAAGAAAAUUGUGGCUCAAGGGAACAGUUAAUGAUCCACAGGGCAUCAAAGUAUCUUACUCAACUGUAUAUUACAUGUUUCUUUUUAUUUCAAAUUAAUUUGGUUCUCUCUAAAUGAAUCAAAGAUCACAAGACUAGAACCAGUGGUUUCCAAAAAAGCCAGACAAAAGAUUUGAUUGAGCAACAGGUGCUUCAACCAUAUAUUAUUAUAAUUGUACGACGCCUUAGCGUUACAAGAGCAAUUCUUGGAGUUGCAAGCUUACCAGCUACAAAAAUGAAAUUUAUUGAAAAAAUCUGGAGAGAAGGGCCUCCUAAAUUAUUAUGACCACCGGAAGCAGUAAAUCCUUUUGGUUGCAUAAUGAAAGGGACUGCCUUUGGAUGUCGCUAAUAUUUAGUGGUGUCAGUGUUGUAGUGUGAACAAAAAAAUAAUUUUAUUUUUUCUCUACCAAAUAUUAUGAUGAAUUUUAUGUAAAUGAUGUCUUAAUUGUACAAAUCUAUGCUAUUCUACACAUUUGGGCUGUUUUUUUUUUGUUGGAUACAUUUGGGGUGUUAAAAAUUAAAAUUGGUAUUGUUUAUACUUGCA